UAGGGAAUAUUGGACAAUGGCCGAAAGGCUGAUCCAGCCAUCCCGCGUGCAGGUAGACGGUCCUCUGGAUUGUAAACUGCUUUUCUCUGGGAAGAAACCCCACGAUUUUUCGAGGGCUGACGGUACCAGAGGAAUAAGCACCGGCUAACUCCGUGCCAGCAGCCGCGGUAAUACGGAGGGUGCAAGCGUUAUCCGGAUUCACUGGGUUUAAAGGGUGCGCAGGCGGGCUUGUAAGUCAGUGGUGAAAGCCCCGGGCUCAACCUGGGAAUUGCCAUUGAUACUGCAAGUCUUGAGUAUAGUUGAGGUGGGCGGAAUACAUCAUGUAGCGGUGAAAUGCUUAGAUAUGAUGUAGAACACCGAUUGCGAAGGCAGCUCGCUAAACUAUAACUGACGCUCAGGCACGAAAGCGUGGGGAUCAAACAGG
rnacentral:rRNA from 1 species